CAUACAAGAUCAAAUUCAAAUUCAUUUUUUUUUUGAGGUAAAAUAUCUUUCUUAAAUCACAAGUUACUCACACAAUUCAUUUCAGGAGGCUAUUUUCAUUUUAAUAACAUCCAAAUACAUUAUAAAAGAAUCCAAACCAAACCUACAAAAAAUUACAUCUUUAACCUACAAUUGACUUUUGGUCAACUAUUGACUUUUUAGUCAAAUACUUGACCAAAGUCAACUGACUAUCCUAUCCUACUUGUUUCUACACCCUCAUGAAUCUCCCAUUUUGCGUGCCUCCAAGUCAAGUCUUCAAUGAUUGCUUCAUAUGCUUGGUAUAUUCCAUAAAAUUCCUCUUGAUGCCAUGCUUUAAACAUAUCAUAAAUGAGCCUUGGUCAUUCAACCUUAUGCACAUUAACCCUACAAGAACAAAAUUCCGACAUGUAAGCCAAUGUACAUCUCAUCCAAUUCCAAUACAUAAGCACAUACGCAAAUACAAAGUCAAGCCAAUAUCCAUGAACUAAUUUGCAUUCACAUGACCACACACAUACACAACAAAGACUUAGCACACUUACUAUUUACACACACUUAAUGCAUACACAUGCCAUGACCUAUACACAUUCAUACAAUAGCCACACAAUACAACAAGACUGCUAAGAUCAAUUCACCAACUCAUAUGCCAAUACAUCCAAAACAACUAAUUCCAAAUAUCACAGAAGCCCUUCUAAUUAGUUUACAAAACACCUCAGCUGCACCAAUUCAGUCCCAUUUCAAACCAGUAAUAGAAAAAAAAGUCAAGUACAAUACACUACAUUAGUAUCACAACUGACAUUACCCAUUUCUCACUGCCUAUUUCCAUCCAUCACAUUACAUUAACAAUUUGCUUCAAUUUACAUAACAUUCAAUUCGAAGCAUAUGAACUAAUGUCAUACCUGUAACAAUUCACUAACAUUCUAACCAAGUGAUUUAUAGACUAGUGCACUAAAGCAUAACAACUAUUACUAACAAUACAUUCUCCAAUUCACAUAGUAUCCAACACAUUCCAUGACAAUUCUAACACAAUCUACUAACUCUUUUUUAAAAAAUAACUAACUGUUUUGUCAAACUAAUCAUGGAUAAUCUAACAUUUCAUUUUAACAUAACAAUUUCUACUUGUUCAUUAACAUUAUUCAAAAGAUCCAACUCAAAACUAUCCUAACUUUAACUAUAACUGUUAGACCUCAUAACUAACUUAACAAUUCUCAAUCUAAUUGCAUCUAACAGAGCACUAACACUGUUAAGAUCACUAACAUAACAGGUGGUUCAUAUAUCCCAUAACAGCUCAUUUCUCAUGACUUUACUAACUUCAAAAUCCAAGAAAAUAACUCCCAGUUCACUAACUGUUUGCCUCAAGCUAGUUUUUAACAACAAUUCAAUAACACUAAUUCAAAUUCAUGUUAAUGUUCCUAGUUUCAAGAAGUCAACUCCUAGUUUUAACCAACAUGAGAGCUCAUUCACAUUCAAACAAAUUACAACUCAACUGUCAGCUUCAUAAUUAUCCUAACUUCCAAUCCUAACAUAACUAGUUAACUCAUUCAUAACUAGAAGUUUAUAACUGAUCCAAACCACCAUCUAAUUCACUAACUUCAAUUCAACUAACAUCUUCUAACAUAUUUAACAGUGUUAGAACUAACAACUAACAUUCCUAACUAUAACUAACUCCAGUUCAAUUCCACUAACAACUUUUAACAAAACUAACAGACUUAGAUGAUUUUAACUAACUUCUUCAUCAAAUCAUUUAACCAUAACGUCUACCCUAACUGUAAACAACCCCACCCCAGCUUUCCCGAGUUUGUUAGCCUCAAAUCCAUCCUUCUCUAGCUCCAUUUACUUCAAUAUCUUCACCAUAAUGUAACUUCCAUUGAGGGGAAUCAAAGCCCUAUGGUUGCUGGCUUAGAUUCCCCCUCCUCCUUUAUUUAAUUUAUGAUUUGAUAUUUAAGGUUCGUACACUCGUUGCUUCUAUUUGAAAAUCUGAGGGAGUUUUAAGAGGACAAGGGAUAACGAGACAAUUAUUUUAAUGGCAGUUUUUCUUAUAUUGGUGGAGCCCUACCGUCGGAAGCAAUUUCCGACACGACAGAGCAUUUCUCUGUGUGUAGAAUGUUUGAGAGGAAAAAAGAGCUAACAUAUUACAACGUGGAAGGGAAAGAAUGAACUACGUUGAUU
rnacentral:lncRNA from 1 species